rnacentral:rRNA from 1 species
UACGGGGGGGGCAAGCGUUGUUCGGAAUUACUGGGCGUAAAGGGCUCGUAGGCGGCCAACUAAGUCAGACGUGAAAUCCCUCGGCUUAACCGGGGAACUGCGUCUGAUACUGGAUGGCUUGAGUUUGGGAGAGGGAUGCGGAAUUCCAGGUGUAGCGGUGAAAUGCGUAGAUAUCUGGAGGAACACCGGUGGGGAAAGGGGCAUCCUGGACCAACACUGACGCUGAGUGAGCGAAAGCCAGGGGAGCAAACGGG